rfam:Volvox carteri f. nagariensis unplaced genomic scaffold VOLCAscaffold_21, whole genome shotgun sequence.
GGGAGUUUGGUCUAGUGGUAUGAUUCUCGCUUUGGGUGCGAGAGGCCGUGGGUUCGAUUCCCACAACUCCCC